ensembl:lncRNA
CCCAGACUGAUCCUUUGCAUGGAUUUUGCUGCGCCUGUUUCCAAGGCUUAGAGCUCUUUAGGAGGUCUUGUUAUAAAUAUUCAGAUGUACAGAUUUUUAAUGAAGAGUUCGGUGGAUGCAUUCUAGAGGAUAAAUGGUCUGUGAAUGGAAACUUUUCUUCCUCAGAGUACAUCAACGUAGCAAUUGCUUGUAUGAAAAACUCUCCGAGACUCAAAUAAAGAGCAGCAGGAUGAGCUCCAAGGCCAGUAAGCCACUUGUAAAUACAAGUGGGCAUAGCAGCUCACAGAAGGCAGCCCAGUAUUUGUGCUGUUCUAAAGGCAUUGGGAACCAGCCAGCAGCUGAGCAGCAGCUAUUUGCAGAACUUGAAGAUCUGCUCUUCCUUCUGCUUCUCUGCAAUUUGUCUCCAUUCCUAGACACCUGGCUCACACCCCCCAUACUCUGAUGAGCCACUCUUGGGCUACCGUUUCUUACAGCUGGCUGCUUUCAGCUGUUUCAAAUCUGGGCUGGAAUCACCUGGCUUUAAUUUAAGUAGCAAACAAAGGCAGCCUUCCCUAUGGGUGUGCUUUAGUUUCAUUGGGGUUGAGUUCCACAAAGAAGAAGUGCGCUGAGUGUGAUGCUUUAACAAAAGCAGCAUACGUCCUAACAAGAAAUAAGGUCCUCUGCUGCUUUCUUCAUAUUGCCAUGCUGUCUUCAAAGGGCGCAUGGACAUCCAGGAGAUGGAUGCUCUGCAAAGCACCUAUGCCUGCAGGGAAAGCCGAAGGCGAAGAGCUGUGUCCUGGUGGCUAUUGCUUCUGUAACAACCACUCAGAUGAGGACUUCCCACGUUUUCCUCAGUGCCCCCGUGCUGCAGCUCUUCUUCAGGCUGGAAUGGUUGGGGUUCCUUCUGCAUCCAUCUGAUGUAGUGGCAUCUCAAAGGCUUUGCGCAGGUGUCCCUUGCUCCCAAGAGGAUGCUAUCAGGGGACAGCAGUGUCCAUGUCAAAUGUACAGACCUGAGGGCCAAAGGGUAAUUAAAAACAUCAUGAAAGUAAUUUGGUCGCUGAACCUGCUGUGGGUCCUGGGCAUCUUAAGGAGCAAAUACCACCAUGGUUUUUUCCCCUCAGGAAUACAAGGCUAACAGGACAACAGCUCAUCUGUGCAAAGCCCUGACUGCUCUCAAUUUGAAAAAAGCCUGUAGCUGAAUCUGCUGCAGUUUUAUAACACAACCACUAUUAAUGUAGCUGUCCAAACAGUUUGUAGGUUAGGGAAAAGAGAAAACUGCAGUACCAGUUCAUUUGUGGGAAGAUCGGAGGAGCAGCACCAGUGCCAUGUCUACAUGCCUUGGAGGGACCUGCUGUGCCAUACAACCAGCACACUUCCUCUACUGAUAUAUAGAGAGUUUAUAUGCAUAUAUAGGUAUGCAUCAGUGUCACAAAGAUUGUAAAAGGAUGGGGGCGUCUAAUGCACUGGUGAUGCAGUGGCACAGCUGCGCUGGAGUGGUGGGGUCACCAUCCCUGGAGGUGUUUCAGAACCAUGGAGAUGUCGCACUGAGGGAUGUGGGCAGCGGGCAUGGUGAGCUGGGCUGGGGUUGGGCUCGGGGGUCUUGGAGAGCUUUUCCUGAAUGAUUCUGUGAGCCUAUGAUCUCUCAUAGAAGGACAGGCUGAGAGAGCUGGCACUGCUCAGCCUGGAGAAGGCUCAGGGGGAUCCCAUCCACAUGUAUAAAUACCUGAUGGGGGCAAUAAGAUGGAACCAUUCUCUUCUCAGUGUUGCCCCAGUGAGGCAACAGGACAGGAAGCAAUGGACAAAGAUGAAAAUAAAACAAAAGUAACAAAAAAAUCCUACAAAAACAAACAAACAAACAAAAAAACAGCAAAAUCAAUCAGGAAAUUCCAUUUAAACAUAAGAAAAUCCUUCUUUAAAUUGCCACCUUGUUUGAACAUGGGAGCAGUUGCACAUUGAGGUGGUGGAUUCUCUGUCCCUGGAGAUGGACAACGCCAGGCUGGAAGCACUGGACAACCUGCUCCAACCAGCCCCGCUCUUUUUGGACCAGACAGUCUCUAGAGCUGCCUCCAGACUCAGUGCAUUUAUUUUAUGUUUCUGUAAUGAUUCUAUAAACUUUGUUUUUCCAAAAACGAUAGUGGGUUUAUCCUGCACAACUUUUAAAUCUGGUAGCUUGUUACAUUUUGUAGCUUCAUUUUGGUCCAUGGGAAGCAUAUUCCUGUGGAUGAAAGAGAUGCAGGGUUUAUUAAUCUGUCCAUUUUACAUUAACUAUCUGGGCAAAAUGAUAGGCAUUUCUUAUUUGAAACUUGUUAUAAAGAAACAUAUGGUCACGUACAUGAAGUGAGAAUAAUUUCAAGUUUGAAAUUCCAUCUAGACGCAGACAUGAAUACCCAAUAGCAACAAAGGAAAUUUGAAAGCAGUUUAGACUAAGCCUGGGGUAUAAUAAUCUGCAAAUGAAAUGCAAAUUCCUCUCAGCAGGAGUGCAAUAUGCUGUUGUCUCAACAGGGGUACUAUUUACUGUUGCUUUGGAAACGUGCAGGAGGGAAGCAUGGGCCAUUGCUUCGACAGAGGGUAAAGGCAGCUUGUACCUUUCUUCUGCUUGAAUUCCAAACCUGGCUUUUGGAAGUGGGCUGUUCACCCUAAUAGGAUGGGUUGUGCAAUAAUUAACAGUAAUUGCAUUCAUAUAAAGUCCUGUGGAAACCUCUGCUCACUCCUGGCCCUUCAUAUCACACAUCAGAACUGCCUUCCUGAUUCCCAACUUAACGCAGUCUUAGAGAUAUCCUCAUUGGGGAGCGAUGCUUAAACACUCCUACAUUCAUUAGAGCUGAACUAUCACUGUACUUCUGACAUCUCUCCAUUGCUGCUGGAUUGCUGGUAAGCAGCUUGACGGCUCUUUCAUCCACAAACAUUCCUCCCUUCAGCUGCUGGUACACAGCACUGUGCCUGGAAACCUUUCACACCUCCAUCUUUAUGGCCACAUAGAAGAAUCGUGUAACUAGAACUGCAAUCUGCAGCCGAUUGCAAUAGAAAAGGAAAUUAGUAUCCUGCAUUUAAUUAAUAUUUGUACUGAGAGAAUUGUUAAAAUCUAGCCAGCUGUUACCAUCCCUUUCAUUACUUUAAAUGUUGAUAACAUUUGUCUCAUACCAAAAAUACUUCAGCAACCAAAGCACUCAUGAAGACCGAUGGUGGAAAUUGAAAGAGAUUGUAUUUAUCACAGCAUCAAAGCUGCAAAUGCAGUGAGUGUGGAUGGGGGCGAGUUCUACUGUGCCAUACAACAGAAUCAGUACCAUUGCUCAGUGCUCCAAUAUUCUCAGAAAGAAAUGACUCCCAUGUUCAGAGAAACCAAACUUGUUUCUAAAGUGACAUAAAUUGUCAUUUCUUAAGUGAUCAGGCAAAAAAGUUAGAAGAAUAGUAACAACAAAAGACUGUCUGGAGAUACACUGUUGUUGUGUUUUAGUGAUUGUUGUUGUCAGUAUUUAACAUUAGAACAUCAUGCAGAACAAUGGCAGUUAAGGUUCUGGUUCCAUGUUACCGCCUUUUUGGGCAUUUUGUGUUCCCGGAGGGGAGGAGCGGCAUCCCCAGCGGACUUGGACAGAAGAGGAAGUAAGAUGGAGCUCUGGACUGGACCCCAGCCGCUCUCUGCCUCUGGCCGUCUUAGCCUGCCGUGGAGAAAAGCACGUGCUUCCCUAGCACUAUCGUGGUUUGACUCGUGCUUUAAAUACUCUCGGCUCUCUCAUUUUGUUUGAUUAAAUUUAGUAAAAUACCAUUCCUCCUCAG